rnacentral:rRNA from 1 species
UACAGGGGGGGCAAGCGUUGUUCGGAAUUACUGGGCGUAAAGAGCGCGCAGGCGGUCGAUCAAGUCGAGUGUGAAAGCCCCCGGCUCAACUGGGGAGGGUCAUUCGAUACUGAUCGACUCGAAGGCAGGAGAGGGUAGUGGAAUUCCCGGUGUAGUGGUGAAAUGCGUAGAUAUCGGGAGGAACACCAGUGGCGAAGGCGACUACCUGGCCUGUUCUUGACGCUGAGGCGCGAAAGCUAGGGGAGCAAACGGG